rnacentral:rRNA from 1 species
UUAUGGAGAGUUUGAUCCUGGCUCAGGACGAACGCUGGCGGCGUGGAUAAGGCAUGCAAGUCGAACGAGAACGGGCAACUAAUCUAAUUAGUAGCCCUAGUAAAGUGGCGAACGGGUGAGUAACGCGUGGAUAACAUGCCCUCAGGUGGGGGAUAACACAGGGAAACUUGUGCUAAUACCGCAUACGUCGUAGUGACCAUGUCACUUCGAUAAAAGGUAGGGAUCCCUUCGGGGACCUAGCGCCAGAGGAUUGGUCCGCGUCCCAUUAGCUAGUUGGUGGGGUAUAGGCCCACCAAGGCGACGAUGGGUAGCCGGCCUGAGAGGGUGACCGGCCACACUGGGAUUGAGAUACGGCCCAGACUCCUUCGGGAGGCAGCAGUCGAGAAUCUUCGCGAUUUGGCGCAAGCCAGAGCGAGUGACGCCGCGUGUGGGAAGAAGGCCUUAUGGGUUGUAAACCACUGUCAGGAGGGAAGAAUAGCGGGUGGUCCAAUAGGCCAUGCGUGUGACGUUACCUCCAGAGGAAGCUCCGGCUAACUCCGUGCCAGCAGCCGCGGUAAUACGGGGGGAGCAAGCGUUGUCCGGAAUCAUUGGGCGUGAAGGGCAUGUAGGCGGCCGGGUCAGUCGAAUGUGAAAUACCACGGCUCAACUGUGGAACUGCGUUCGAAACUGCCCGGCUUGAGUACGGGAGAGGUAUGCGGAAUUCCUGGUGUAGCGGUGGAAUGCGUAGAUAUCAGGAAGAACACCGGUGGCGAAGGCGGCAUACUGGCCCGAUACUGACGCUGAGGUGCGAAAGCGUGGGGAGCAAACGGGAUUAGAUACCCCGGUAGUCCACGCCGUAAACGAUGUCUACUAGGUUGUGGGAGUUCUGACACUCUCGCAGCCGAAGCAAAAGUGUUUAGUAGACCGCCUGGGGAGUACGGUCGCAAGGCUAAAACUCAAAGGAAUUGACGGGGGCUCACACAAGCGGUGGAGCAUGUGGUUUAAUUCGAUGCAACGCGAAGAACCUUACCUGGGCUUGACAUCCAGAGGGCAGGUGUAGAG